UACGUAGGGUGCGAGCGUUAAUCGGAAUUACUGGGCGUAAAGCGUGCGCAGGCGGUUAUGCAAGACAGAUGUGAAAUCCCCGGGCUCAACCUGGGAACUGCAUUUGUGACUGCAUGGCUGGAGUGCGGCAGAGGGGGAUGGAAUUCCGCGUGUAGCAGUGAAAUGCGUAGAUAUCUGGAGGAAUACCGGUGGCGAAGGCGGCAUCCUGGACCGGCAUUGACGCUGAGGAGCGAAAGCUAGGGGAGCAAACAGG
rnacentral:rRNA from 1 species